rnacentral:rRNA from 1 species
UACGGAGGGUGCAAACGUUGCUCGGAAUCACUGGGCGUAAAGCGCACGUAGGCGGCCUCGUAAGUUGGGUGUGAAAGCCCUGGGCUCAACCCAGGAAGUGCAUCCAAAACUGCAUGGCUUGAGUACCGGAGGGGUUCAGAGAAUUCCUGGUGUAGAGGUGAAAUUCGUAGAUAUCAGGAGGAAUACCAGUGGCGAAGGCGCUGAACUGGACGGUAACUGACGCUGAGGUGCGAAAGCGUGGGUAGCAAAC